rnacentral:rRNA from 1 species
AUUGAACGCUGGCGGCAGGCCUAACACAUGCAAGUCGAACGCGUGGCGGACGGGUGAGUAAUGUCUGGGAAACUGCCCGAGAGAGGGAUAUAACUACUGGAAACGAUAGCUAAUACCGCAUACCUUCGUAUGUGCCCAGAUGGGAUUCGCUAGUAUGUGGGGUAACGGCUCACCUAGGCGACGAUCCCUAUCUGGUCGGAGAGGAUUACCAGGCACACUGCAACUGAGCCACGGCCCAGAGUCCUACGGCAGGCAGGAGGGGUGACGAGUGCACAAUGGGCGCAAGCCUGAGGCAGCACUGCCGCGUGUAUGAAGAAGGCCUUCGGGUUGGAAAGCACUUUCAGUGAGGAGGCGUUACUGGCAGAAGAAGCACCGGCUAACUCCGUGCCAGCAGCCGCGGUAAUAC